rnacentral:rRNA from 1 species
UACGUAGGGUCCGAGCGUUGUCCGGAAUUACUGGGCGUAAAGAGCUCGUAGGUGGUUUGUCGCGUUGUUCGUGAAAACUCACAGCUUAACUGUGGGCGUGCGGGCGAUACGGGCAGACUUGAGUACUGCAGGGGAGACUGGAAUUCCUGGUGUAGCGGUGGAAUGCGCAGAUAUCAGGAGGAACACCGAUGGCGAAGGCAGAUCUCUGGGCCGUAACUGACGCUGAGGAGCGAAAGCGUGGGGAGCGAACAGG